rnacentral:tRNA from 1 species
GGAUUGUAGCUCAGUGGCAGAGUGCUUGCCUCACAUGUAUGAGACACUGGGUUCCAUCCUCAGCACCA